rnacentral:rRNA from 1 species
GGGGAGAGGUGCUUGCACCUUUCAAGCGAGUGGCGAACGGGUGAGUAACACGUGGAUAACCUGCCUCAAGGUUGGGGAUAACAUUUGGAAACAGAUGCUAAUACCGAAUAAAACUUAGUAUCGCAUGAUAUCAAGUUAAAAGGCGCUACGGCGUCACCUAGAGAUGGAUCCGCGGUGCAUUAGUUAGUUGGUGGGGUAAAGGCUUACCAAGACGAUGAUGCAUAGCCGAGUUGAGAGACUGAUCGGCCACAUUGGGACUGAGACACGGCCCAAACUCCUACGGGAGGCUGCAGUAGGGAAUCUUCCACAAUGGGCGCAAGCCUGAUGGAGCAACGCCGCGUGUGUGAUGAAGGCUUUCGGGUCGUAAAGCACUGUUGUAUGGGAAGAAAUGCUAAAAUAGGGAAUGAUUUUAGUUUGACGGUACCAUACCAGAAAGGGACGGCUAAAUACGUGCCAGCAGCCGCGGUAAUACGUAUGUCCCGAGCGUUAUCCGGAUUUAUUGGGCGUAAAGCGAGCGCAGACGGUUGAUUAAGUCUGAUGUGAAAGCCCGGAGCUCAACUCCGGAAUGGCAUUGGAAACUGGUUAACUUGAGUGUUGUAGAGGUAAGUGGAACUCCAUGUGUAGCGGUGGAAUGCGUAGAUAUAUGGAAGAACACCAGUGGCGAAGGCGGCUUACUGGACAACAACUGACGUUGAGGCUCGAAAGUGUGGGUAGCAAAACAGGAUUAGAUACCCUGGUAGUCCACACCGUAAACGAUGAAUACUAGGUGUUAGGAGGUUUCCGCCUCUAAUGCCGAAGCUAACGCAUUAAGUAUUCCGCCUGGGGAGUACGACCGCAAGGUUGAAACUCAAAGGAAUUGACGGGGACCCGCACAAGCGGUGGAGCAUGUGGUUUAAUUCGAAGCAACGCGAAGAACCUUACCAGGUCUUGACAUCCUUUGAAGCUUUUAGAGAUAGAAGUGUUCUCUUCGGAGACAAAGUGACAGGUGGUGCAUGGUCGUCGUCAGCUCGUGUCGUGAGAUGUUGGGUUAAGUCCCGCAACGAGCGCAACCCUUAUUGUUAGUUGCCAGCAUUCAGUUGGGCACUCUAGCGAGACUGCCGGUGACAAACCGGAGGAAGGCGGGGACGACGUCAGAUCAUCAUGCCCCUUAUGACCUGGGCUACACACGUGCUACAAUGGCGUAUACAACGAGUUGCCAACCUGCGAAGGUGAGCUAAUCUCUUAAAGUACGUCUCAGUUCGGACUGCAGUCUGCAACUCGACUGCACGAAGUCGGAAUCGCUAGUAAUCGCGGAUCAGCACGCCGCGGUGAAUACGUUCCCGGGUCUUGUACACACCGCCCGUCACACCAUGGGAGUUUGUAAUGCCCAAAGCCGGUGGCCUAACCUUCGGGAGGGAGCCGUCUAAGGCAGGACAGAUGACUGGGGUGAAGUCGUCACUUUGAUGGCCGUA